rnacentral:rRNA from 1 species
AUUGAACGCUGGCGGCAGGCCUAACACAUGCAAGUCGAACGAGUGGCGGACGGGUGAGUAAUGUCUGGGAAACUGCCUGAUGGAGGGGGGUAACUACUGGAAACGGUAGCUAAUACCGCAUACCAUCGGAUGUGCCCAGAUGGGAUUAGCUAGUAGGUGGGGUAACGGCUCACAUAGGCGACGCUCCCUAGCUGGUCUGAGAGGAUGAACAGACAAUCUUGACCUGAGACACGGUCCAGACUCCUACGGGAGGCAGCAGUGGGGAAUAUUGCACAAUGGGCGCAAGCCUGAUGCAGACAUGCCGCGUGUAUGAAGAAGGCCUUCGGGUUGUAAAGUACUUUCAGCGGGGAGGCGUUACCCGCAGAAGAAGCACCGGCUAACUCCGUGCCAGCAGCCGCGGUAAUAC